GAUGAACGCUAGCUACAGGCUUAACACAUGCAAGUCGAGGGGAAACGAUGAGAGAGCUUGUUCUCUUAGGCGUCGACCGGCGCACGGGUGAGUAACGCGUAUCCAACCUGCCCAUUACAGGGGAAUAACCUCGCGAAAGUAAGACUAAUGUCCCAUGGUAUUCCCAGCAGACAUCUAAUGAGGAUUAAAGAUUUAUCGGUAAUGGAUGCGGAUGCGUCUGAUUAGCUUGUUGGCGGGGUAACGGCCCACCAAGGCAACGAUCAGUAGGGGUUCUGAGAGGAAGGUCCCCCACACUGUGACUGAGAUACGGACCAGACUCCUACGGGAGGCAGCAGUGAGGAAUAUUGGACAAUGGUCGGAAGACUGAUCCAGCCAUGUCCGCGUGCAGGAUGAAGGGCCUAUGGAUUGUAAAACUGCUUUUGUAAGGGAAGAAUAAGGAGAACGUGUACUUUGAUGACGGUACCUUACGAAUAAGCAUCGGCUAACUCCGUGCCAGCAGCCGCGGUAAUACGGAGGAUGCGAGCGUUAAUCCCGGAGUCAUUUGGGUUUUAAGGGGGCCGGAGGGGGGCUGAUAAAGUCAGAGGGUGAAAGCGCUUAGCUCAACUAAGCAACUGCCUUUGAAAAUGUCAGUCUUGAAUGAUUUGAAGUAGUUGGAAUGUGUAGUGUUUCGCUGAAAAGGUUAGGAAAUUACACAGAAAACCGGUAGCGAAGGCUUUUUACUUACAAUUUUUUUGACGCUGAUGGACCAAAGCGCGGGAGGAAAAGGAAUAGAUAACCCUUUAGUCCAAGGCAAAUUCCCUUUGGCGGGGGCCCGGGGUACCCUUGGUCUAAGCGGGCGGCCCGGGGGCCCCAUUUCCCUUUUGUGGGGUGAAAAAACGGGGUCUUGCAAAAGUUUAAAGAGUCGUGACUGAAAACCCUGGUUUACCCAACUUAAUCGCUUGCAAGAAAAUCCCCUUUCGGCAAGAUGGAUAAAUAGCCAAAAUCACCCCACGAAUAAAUUUGGGCAGAAUUUUUUCCA
rnacentral:rRNA from 1 species